UUUAGACAGGGGCAGCCAGAAUCCUACCCUAUCCAGUGGUUCAAGGUCUUUUCUGGCCUUACGCUUGCUUUGGGCAGUUCUCAGAAUGUGUGUGUGCACGUGUGCACAUGCAUACACACACACCUUUGAUUCGUCACCCUCAUUCCUCCAGUCAUUUAAGUAGGAGCUGAUAAAAGAAAGCCUUCAGGGUUCACAGUAUUGCCUUGGUGGGUUUUUUUAACAUAGAAUAUCAGAAUUCAAAAUGAGGCUACUCUGCACAAAAUAUACAGAACUUUUUAUUUUUAUGCUAUUUUACACAGCAACAUUCAGUAUUUCUAAUGCUAACUUUAAGAUGUCUGAAAUAUAUAUGGACAUUUAUGUGUCUAUUUGGAAAAUGAACCAUCAUCUAAAUAUCAUUUAAAAAAUGAUAUAGGAAGUUGAGAAGGUCUAACUUAGCUUUUGCCCUUUUCUUUCCAGGUUUUCUAAAUAGCUUUGAGGAGUUACAGGCUGAGGAAUGCGGCAUCCUCAAUGGAUGUGAAAAUGGUCGCUGU
rnacentral:lncRNA from 1 species